AGCUUUGCACAGUGGCAGUAUUGUAGCCAAUGAGGUUUAUCCGAGGCGCGCUUAUUGCUAAUAGAAUGCAUAUGUACUGGAAGAAGUUUUUUUUUCCUUUUUUUUUUAAACUGAAGAAUUGA
ensembl:snRNA U4 U4 spliceosomal RNA